AAUCAUUAUAUUGAAAUUGUUUAAAAUACUAUUCGUCUGUUUUAUAAGAAAUAACUAUUUUUACAUAAAAAUAGUUCAAUUAAAAUUUAUAAAUUCUGAAUGGCCUUAAUUACUUUUAGAAGUUCUUGCGUGAGUGUGUUUUCUACAGAAAGAUGUGUUAAGUUUGUUAAUUAUUACUAAUAUCGUAAUCGCACAGGUUUAAAAAUGAUGAAGUCUGUUUUACAUUCAUGGAGAAAAUUUUCUAUCUACAGAAAUAAUUAUCAAUUUGUAAUGAAAUGGAUAUAUAGAAAAAAAUCAUGCUGGAAUUAUAACAACAAAAUAUUUCAUGUUUCUGAUGAAGUUAAGGAAAGCCUAAUUAAAAAUCAUCCAGUUAUAGCUUUGGAGAGUACAAUUAUUACACAUGGAAUGCCUUUUCCAGAAAAUAUAAG